rnacentral:lncRNA from 1 species
AGCCUACUAGAGAAAGAAUAUUUAGACAUCAGACCUGUAAAAAAAAUAGUGGUAUUACGCCUGAGGCAAAAUAUUUCGUUCAGAAUUAGUUGUUUCCUCUUCAAUAUGUUUCCGGUUUUGGAUUUUAUCAGGGAAGCGUGUGAAGUUUACUUCUGUUUAUCUACCUUUUGUUCAACGAUGAAGGGAUCUGAGACUUGUAAUACUGUUUAGUGAUUUGAUAAUAUUCCUUGUUCCUUUGAUGGUUCAUUCCACUACAGCUGGUUCAUAUACCCUACAACAGCCAGGAAAUUGGUAUGUUUAUUUUAAGAUCUCAAGAAAAUGGAACAUAUUUUGGAUGUGCUUUGAGGAAUCAGGAAGGCAAGUGUUUCCUCUUGUUUAUGAAAGCAACUCAGUUGGUUAAGGGGCAGACAACU